ensembl:lncRNA
GGCGACAGUCACGUGACUCGGCGUCAUACAUUCGGCGUCGCACAGCAGCGCAGUCGCUUCUUUUAUUUCUUAUUAUAUAUUUUAUUCAAGCAGCAGUUGAUCAAUGCUCUUAAAAUUGUGCUAUCAUCUUUAGAGACUGAUUUACAUCCACACAUCUGCAUCCGGGAGAGAGAGUGUUUGUGUUUGUUGAUGAAGAGGAGCUGUUCAGUGUGAUGAAGGAUGCUGACUGUCUCUACUGCAGGAAUCCAGUCACUGCGUCCAAACAUCACCUCAGAAAGAGACAUCUCAGAUUCGCUAUAUAUUAUAAAGACUCUGCCAUUGGGAAGUUUUCUAUCCCCUGUUAUUGCUCUGAUGGAGGCCAUGGCAGGAGCCACUGGCACUGCCCAAUGUGCGCAAAAAUAUUGCAAAGAACAAAGGAUUUCAAAAUCCAUAUUACCAACCACGGUGUUGAGAUGACAGACAAAUCCACAGUUGAGCUACAACCUACAAUGGUCCUGUCGGAGAACCAACAAACAGACAACGAAGACAAGACACCGGGCAACAAGUCAGCGUGCCAGAAGUGUGGCAUCUUCUUUACCACCACAUCAAAUUUGAGACGGCAUGAGAGACUACAGCACGGCCAAGACCAGCAGCCCAUGUUAUGCGUAGAUGCCAAAAAUGCAAUCUAUGUUACACCCAAGGAUCUGCACGGACCUAGAGUGCCCAUUCAUAUCCGUAAAUCCUUCACCUUGCAGAUUCUGCUGUGUGAACUGGAGGAAUGCUGGGAUUUCAUGAAAGCGCUGGCCCAGAGCGGGAAUCCUGGGAAGGAAUGCCGUCACCUCGUGAGAACGAAUCACGCGCAGCACUACGUCCCUCCUCCACCGCUGAGCAUCAGCUCUCUGGAGGAGAUGAGCCACAAACACCUCCUGUCCGCAUCUGAGAAACACGCGUGCCAGGAGAUGAACUCCAGGGCAUGUUUAGAGGGAGUCGAUUGUGUCUACCCUAUUUUUUGGGGGAAGCAUGACCUUUCAGAGAGAUGUGUCUACUUUUCUGUGUACACUGACCUCAAGGACAAAUGGUGUCAGUUUGGGAGGACACGCGUCUCGUUUGACACCAAGUCUGGCAGCUGGAAGUGUCUGUGUGAACACAAAAGAAUCCCUUGCAUCCACAAGCGUUUAUCUAUGUGGUGGUUGUUUCAGGAGCAUCCCAAAUUGUUGCAGAACCCCCUGGAUGUCCACGCUGAAAGAGUCGACGUGCUUGAGGAAGUGGUCAUGGAUAAAAUGUCUCCUGAUGGUGAUGACCUCUGCUAGCCUCAACAUCCCUCUCAUGUUCUGUCUUCACCCAAUAAAAACACUUGCCAUACACUUGAUUUUGCCUUGUAAUUUCUUAGUUGAUUUGCAAAAAUUCAUGUGCUGUGCUAUGUUUACAGUGUUGGGGGAAACGCAUUACAAGUAACACUAAUUACGUAACUAGUAACGUAUUACUUUUACAUUUGCAAUGAAAUAUCGGAGUUACUUUGUCAAAUAAGUAAUGAAAGUUAUUUUGUUACUUUGCACUCAACUUCUGUCUCCGUGUUGAGAGAAAUCAGUGGCACUUCCUUCAGCCUGAGGCUUAUUAUUUUUUACAGUUGCCAUUACAGUACAGGUGACCAAAAGUAAUGCAAAAGUAACGUAAUGCAUUACUUUCCAUGAAAAGUAACUAAGUAACGCAGUUAGAUUUUGGAGUAGUGCAAUGUUGUAAUGCAUUACUUUUAAAAGUAACUUCCCCCAAAACUGUAUGUUUAUGACGUUGCCACACUAAUUUUAUUAAAGUUAUCCAAGAUAUAUUUAUUGUGAAAUUUCUGGAAAGGUGUCUUGAGAUUUAUUCAUGGAUUAUUCAUCUGAAAAGCAAAAUGUGUGUUCUCGUGCUUUCAAAGCCAAAUGUAAUGCAUACUAAGUCCCACCACUCUUUGUGGUGAAGUUUCACUUUAGGCUUUGUAUUGCACUGUAAAUGGUGAGUUAUGUGACAUGACUGUGUCACACAAAGUAUUGAUGGUGUUGUGUGUCUUUAUAAUUGCCCUCUUGGCUUUGCCCAGACUGGUUUAGUCUGGUUGUUUUGGCCAGAAUUUAACUAAUUUUACACAACGUAAAUUAUGUUCAGUAUUAUUAUUUUUAAAAUGCAUCUUUAUCUAUGUUCGAACAGCAAAGUCUAAUAAUAAUAAAAGAAAUUAAAGAAA